rnacentral:rRNA from 1 species
GGGCCCGCACAAGCGGUGGAGCAUGUGGUUUAAUUCGAAGCAACGCGAAGAACCUUACCAGUCCUUGACAUGGGUAGUUUGGAUUUUGGAGACAAUCUCCUUCAGUUCGGCUGGCUACCACACAGGUGCUGCACGGCUGUCGUCAGCUCGUGUCGUGAGAUGUUGGGUUAAGUCCCGCAACGAGCGCAACCCUCAUCUUUAGUUGCCAUCAGUUCGGCUGGGCACUCUAGAGAAACUGCCUGCGAUGAGCAGGAGGAAGGCGGGGACGACGUCAAGUCAUCAUGGCCCUUAUGGACUGGGCUACACACGUGCUACAAUGGUAGAGACAGAGGGCAGCCACCUGGCGACAGGGAGCGAAUCCUUAAACUCUAUCUCAGUUCGGAUCGGAGUCUGCAACUCGACUCCGUG